rnacentral:rRNA from 1 species
AUACGAAGGUGGCAAGCGUUAUUCGAAAUCACUGGGCUUAAAGGGUGCGUAGGCGGAUCUGAAAGUGUCUUGUGAAAUCCCUCGGCUUAACCGAGGAAUGGCUGGGCAAACUACAGGUCUUGAGGCAAGUAGGGGUGUGUGGAACUCUUGGUGGAGCGGUGGAAUGCGUAGAUAUCAAGAGGAACGCCGAAGGUGAAGACAGCACACUGGACUUGUUCUGACGCUGAGGCACGAAAGCGUGGGGAGCAAACAGGAUUAGAUACCCUGGUAGUCCACGCCGUAAACGAUGUGCACUAGGUCGCGGAGGUUCUGACACCGUCGCGGUCGUAGCAAAAGUGUUAAGUGCACCGCCUGGGGAGUACGGUCGCAAGGCUAAA